GACGAACGCUGGCGGCGUGCUUAACACAUGCAAGUCGAACGAAGUGGCGAACGGGUGAGUAACGCGUAAUCAACCUGCCCUUCAGAGGGGGAAAACAGUUGGAAACGACUGCUAAUCCCGCAUACUGAAGGAGGGGAUUGCGUCUGAUUGGCUAGUUGGAGGGGUAACGGCCCACCAAGGCGAUGAUCAGUAGCCGGGCUGGGAGGGUGAACGGCCACAUUGGGACUGAGACACGGCCCAGACUCCUACGGGAGGCAGCAGUGGGGAAUCUUCCGCAAUGGACGAAAGUCUGACGGAGCAACGCCGCGUGAGUGAUGACGGCCUUCGGGUUGUAAAGCUCUGUUAAUCGGGACGCGGUACCGAAAUAGAAAGCCACGGCUAACUACGUGCCAGCAGCCGCGGUAAUUC
rnacentral:rRNA from 1 species